rnacentral:lncRNA from 10 species
AUACACGGUGAACACAUCUCCUAGACAAGUCUCUUAGAUCCUGAUUUCAGCCAAAGUAUUAACUCCCAUGUCUUUUCUAUACAGAAGUUCUCAAGUUGCCACUGGUUACAUUAUUUCCAUUGGAAUACCUACUCCUAUAAAGACUUUCUAGUUCUUCAUAUAAGUACUUGUAGCGAAUGAGAGAAAUAACAAGCUUGGAUAGUUCUCAUUUAUGAAAAUCCGUGAUUUAAAUUAUGAUGAAAAGGUAACGUCAGAAAUCUGUUAUGUCUCUGAGAGGUCUGGAAUGAAAAUUAUUGAAAGAGAAUAAAAGGGGCCAGGCAUAGUGGCUCACACCUGUAAUCUCAGCACUUUGGGAGGCCAAGGCAGGUGAAUCACUUGAGGUCAGGAGUUUGAGAUCAGCCUGGCUAACAUGGUGAAAACCUGUCUCUACUAAAAACACAAAAAUUAACUGGGUGUGGUGGUGAGCACCUGUUAGUCCCAGCUGCUCUGGAGGCUGAGGCACGAGAAUUGCUUGAGCCCAGGAGGGAGAGGUUGCAAUGAGCUGAGAUCUUGCCACUGCACUCCAGCCUGGCCGACAGAGAGAGACUCCAUCUCAAACUCCAGCAUAGCUGACAGAGAGAGACUCCAUCUCAAACUCCAGCCUGGCCAACAGAGAGAGACUCCAUCUCAAAAAAAAAGGAGAAUAAAAGAAUGGAGACAUCACUACAGAAGAGACUUCUGCUUCCCUUCUCUACUUGUGAGGAAAUGCUACACCAAAGCCAUCUCUGAGUGAGAAAAUUCAGAGAGUUAAAUUGAAAGUGAUUUAUUAAAUUGCACAGUUUCUCUGUUUUCCAUGAAUGAAUGUCUAGUUAACAUAAAUUGGUUAAAAUCAUACACACGGUAAUUGAAAUUAUUACCCAUGAGGUGGAACCAGAGAGAAAUAAAUACUGAGCUGUAAUGCAUUUCACUCAUCCCAAUUCAUUCUUUCUGUCAACUGUGCACCCUCUCCCUUCUUUAUUAAGAUUUGUAUAAAUUUAAACAAAGUCAAACUAAGCUGGAAUAAAGGCAAUGUGGCAUGUGUAUAGUCAAGCAAGAAGUUUGUUUUGUGAGAAGAAUAAGCCCUCACAUGCAUUCAAUCACUGUGUUCCAGCAUGAGGAGCCUGAAAACCCUUCAGAUGAUUGGCUAUUUAGGAUAGUGAAAACUGAUCAAAGAAGGAAAAUAAAUAAGAAAUUUGGAGAGGCUUGGAACUUUUAUGAUGUCAAAGAAACGUUGGCUGAGAGAGUUUUGAAGAAGUAAAAUUAAAGCAAUUUCUGAAAUGUUUGUAAUUCAGAUCCAAUCUUCUCAAGUUGCAAUGUGCAUCUGGGGAUCUUGUGAAAAUGCAGAUUCUGAUUUAGUAGGUUCAUGGGAGGUCUGUACAUUCUUCUUCUCCAAUAAGCUUUCAGUUUGCUGACGCUGCUGGUCCACAAAUCAUGCUUUUAGCAAUAAGGUUUUAGUCAUAUUGGCCAUUUCUCGGUUACUAAAAUACUGAAAUCCCCUAAAUAAUUGCUAAUAUUCAUAUUUUGAAAAAAUACAUUGCCAAUAAUAAACUUGUCUAAAAUAAUAGUGUUCUUACCUGGAUUAGUGAUUUAGAAAACCAAAUACUAAGUCAAAAGUGAACCCCAAGAUGAGCUUGAAAUCAGUGACAUCAGCUGUAGAACCAGUUUUAAUCUAUAUGAAGAUAGACCUACGUUGUAUCUCGUGUCUCUAAGUGCUGAAUUAUUCACAUAAAUGCUUCAGAGAAGCCUCCCAUAAAUCAAAGGGAGAGAAUUAAAUUGGGAAUAGUAAUGGUGAGAAAUCUUGAGCUCCUAACCUGAUUUACCUGACUACUCUCCCAGUUAUCUUUCUCUUGUUCUGACCAAAUCAUUCCUGGUGAUUUGCUGGCCCCUAAAUUUAG